AAAUUGAAGAGUUUGAUCAUGGCUCAGAUUGAACGCUGGCGGCAGGCCUAACACAUGCAAGUCGAACGGUAACAGGAAGCAGCUUGCUGCUUCGCUGACGAGUGGCGGACGGGUGAGUAAUGUCUGGGAAACUGCCUGAUGGAGGGGGAUAACUACUGGAAACGGUAGCUAAUACCGCAUAACGUCGCAAGACCAAAGAGGGGGACCUUCGGGCCUCUUGCCAUCGGAUGUGCCCAGAUGGGAUUAGCUAGUAGGUGGGGUAACGGCUCACCUAGGCGACGAUCCCUAGCUGGUCUGAGAGGAUGACCAGCCACACUGGAACUGAGACACGGUCCAGACUCCUACGGGAGGCAGCAGUGGGGAAUAUUGCACAAUGGGCGCAAGCCUGAUGCAGCCAUGCCGCGUGUAUGAAGAAGGCCUUCGGGUUGUAAAGUACUUUCAGCGGGGAGGAAGGGAGUAAAGUUAAUACCUUUGCUCAUUGACGUUACCCGCAGAAGAAGCACCGGCUAACUCCGUGCCAGCAGUCGCGGUAAUACGGAGGGUGCAAGCGUUAAUCGGAAUUACUGGGCGUAAAGCGCACGCAGGCGGUUUGUUAAGUCAGAUGUGAAAUCCCCGGGCUCAAC
rnacentral:rRNA from 1 species